AUUGAACGCUGGCGGCAUGCCUUACACAUGCAAGUCGAACGGUAGAAGGAGCAAUCCUUCGAGAGUGGCGAACGGGUGAGUAAUACAUCGGAACGUACCUGGUAGUGGGGGAUAGCCCGGCGAAAGCCGGAUUAGUACCGCAUAAGACCUGAGGGUGAAAGCGGGGGACCGUAAGGCCUCGCGCUACCGGAGCGGCCGAUGUCAGAUUAGCUAGUUGGUAGGGUAAAGGCCUACCAAGGCCACGAUCGGUAGCUGGUCUGAGAGGAUGAUCAGCCACACUGGGACUGAGACACGGCCCAGACUCCUACGGGAGGCAGCAGUGGGGAAUAUUGGACAAUGGGCGCAAGCCUGAUCCAGCAAUGCCGCGUGUGUGAAGAAGGCCUGCGGGUUGUAAAGCACUUUCAGUGGGGAAGAACAGAUUCGGGUCAAUACCCCGGAGCCCUGACGUUACCCACAGAAGAAGCACCGGCUAACUCCGUGCCAGCAGCCG
rnacentral:rRNA from 1 species